rnacentral:tRNA from 1 species
AGUUUUAUAAUUUAAAUAAAAAUCUUAAAUUGCAAAUUUAAUUAUAGAAUUUUAAUUCUUAAAACUU